UCUCUUUCAGCUGAGACGCUGCUGUGAUGCUGUUGGGAGAGAUGAUUCAAAUUAAAACAAAACUCCAACUCCAGGCAGAAGCGGUGAGAUUAAUGAAGCCCAGCAUGGAGUGCUGAGUAAAAAGUGUGUAAAUUCAUCCACCCGGAUGUCCAGACCCUGCUGAAACAUUAUCGCCUGAGACACGCAGGGGGUCAUCAAGGUGACGGCGAUAGCAGAACAUAGGAGGAGAGUGGCCUUGGAAGGAUUGCCCAUUUACCUCAAGGAGGAUGCAUCAAAUCUUUUCAAGACAUGUCUGGACACAGAUGAAGAGGAGGAUUACACCAAAGGUGUAAAAAUUGCCAUACUGACAGUCUUCGAGGAUGAUGUAGCAUCUGUUACGUCCCUACCUACGGUCAUCAACAUUGGCGUGCUUUUGGAAGAGAGUGUCAUCGUUCAGGGCAUAAAGGACCUUCCUUCAGCAGUCGCAUACUUGUUUGGCCUGCUGUAUUUCAUCAACAUGGAAUACCCCAAAAACCUGAGAUACACUUUUGAGGUUUUACAGAAAGUUUUCCUUGACAUGGGAGCACACUGCUGCUCUGCACGAGCUCAAUCACUCCGAAGUAAAAUGCAGAAAUGUCUGCGCUAAUGUGGCAAGUCCAUUUUUCUCUCUCUCUCGGAGCUGCAAGUCAGUUGAGUUUACUCCAAAAAACCCUUGAAAACCGCAGCUACAAUCAAUAAGGCUCCUGCUCCUCACUAUAUGGAAAACAUGGUGGAAACUGCUCAAGAGGGCCCGAUCACCAUGAUGGAGGAGUCCAACAAAAGGUCAGAUGACAAAGCUUGUGCCAUCAUGGGCCGACUGCUUGACAAGGACCUUCAGAGUUGAAAACAGAUUUCUAGGCAUUCCAGUGUGCAAAAAACCGCAUGCUCCAAACUUGUUCACAACUCUACAAGACGCACUACAGUAAAUGUUUUUCCCAUAAUAUAAUAAUUAUUAACAGACAUCACAAUAUACCCUGGUCAAGCGUCAAAGGAUUUUCAUCUGACAAUGCAAGUGUCAUGGUGGGCAAGAACAAUUCUGUACUCUCCCAUGUAAGACAAGCAACAGGCUCCCAAGUACCUGACCUCGGCUGUGUUUCCCAUAUUGAAAACCUCUGUGCCAACAGUCUCAUAAAAAGUCACUCCACCUACCAGUAGAAGAUCUGCUCAUUGAUACCUACUAGUCAAGUGAAGUUUAUUUGUAUCGCGCUUUUAACAAUAAACAUUGUCGCUAAGCAGCUUUAUAGAAUUUGAACGACUUAAAACAUGAGCUAAUUUUUCCCCUAAUCUAUCCCCAAUGAGCACGCCUGUGGCGACGGUGGCAAGGAAAAACUCCCUCAGACGACAUGAGGAAGAAACCUUGAGAGGAACCAGACUCCAAAGAGAACCCAUCCUCAUUUGGGCAACAACAGACAGUAUGACUAUAACAUUAACAGUCCUAACAUAAAGUCAGCUUUGUUGAUGCUAUAAACCCCAACCGACGGAAACCCGAGCGCAAAACCGUUCACGACAACCGCAGCCCUAAAGUUCAGCAAGUCAACUGCAGACCUACUAUUAUUUUCAUGGAAGUUCCAGAAGAAGGGAGGAAUAUAAAGAGUUCCAAAUAUUCACAGGAGUCGACAUGGAGGAGGUUCUUAAACAUGUGUCAAAGAUGGCUGUCGAUGGAAAGAUGUGUUGCUAGAACCCUCUCCCAGUGGCCAGCAUUACAAGCUUACUUUAACAGCAGUGAUGACAAGGAAAAGCCUGGUCAUGUCAAACGAUGUGCUGAUGCCUAUGUAAGUGAAGAGAUGAAGCUCAUGUAUUACUUUCUCCAGUAUGCUCUCACAAAGUUGAAUAAGUUCAAUAUUCUCUUUCAGUCUCAUGACUGUCGUGUACUUGAGCUAGAGAAGGAAACAGAGGGUCUUUUGAAGGCUUACGUUCUGAACUUCAUGAAAGUGGAUGCUGUGAAUAUUGAUGACCUAUCAAAAGUAGAUUAUAAGUGUGAAGAACAGCAGAAAUCUGAUGAUCUCACCAUUGGCAUACAAGCUUCCAGAUACUUGGAAUCCAUCAGUGAGGACUGUGAUCCUGCGAUUAUUACCUGUUUCUAUAGGAGUGUAAGAGCUGCAUAUGUUGCUGCUGUGGAAAAGUUUUUAAAUAAGUUUCCCUUUGGAAACCCAAUAUUGAAGUCAGUAAGAAUUCUAAAUCCAUUACACAGGACUGAUGUGACAGAAAGAGAAGCAGGGAAGGAACGCACGUCUGGCCCAUUGACAGCGAGGAAAAGAAGGCUGUCAGUGUGGAUACAUUCAUUCUGUUGCGCUCAUCAAUAAGGAUGUGAUUCAUGGCGCUAAAUCCAUGUUCACACUCUGGAUAUUGUUAUUAUCUACAAUGUAUCUAUUUGCUGGGGACGUUCGUGAACAUCAAAGCUGCCACUUCGGGUCAUUUUGAAAGUGCUGGGACAGCAGGUAGUGGAUGAACAUGUUCCAGAUGUUUCUCUCAUUGGGGAGAUGGGGGAUGCGACAGAACUGGGUCGGCUGGUGCAGUUGGUGCUGGGCUGCACAGUCAGCUGCGAGAAGAAGCAAAGUACCCUGGGAGACCAGACAGCUGUCCACCUUGCAGUCCAAAGCAAUCACGAGGAGCAAACGUUCACAGAAAUGUAUUUUCUCUGAUGAGUUGAAGGUUAUAUAACAGCAGCUCUGACAGUGAUGCAGCUGCAAAUCACAGUGCUUGUUCUAACACACUAUCGUUACUAUAGAAACGGCUUUGGUAAAAUAAGGGUGGGUGGAUGGACAGGUGAUAAAGACUCUGGACCCUCAGCAGAAGCCCAACUUUGUCGCUCCUGAGGUUCAGGCUCUGAAGAACCAGCUCUCAGAGAAAGACAGGAGAAUCCAGUGUCUGGACGUGAGGUACACCUGAGAUACGUCACACUGAGCGUUUGAGGAUUAUGGGUAAUCGGUUACUUCCUGUCACUAAUUGCUGGGAUAGAGGAUUUCUGAGACUGUACGGUUCGAUAUAUGACUUCCAAUUACAUUUCAAUUUCUAUCUGUAUUUAAAACACUUAACAGGUUGCUGUUACUGUUUGGAAAGGAUGAGUGGUGUGUUUUCUGUAUUUUCUUUGCUAUCUUUAAUUCGUAUUUUAUUUGUAGCUUCUAACAGUAUCACAUUGUCACAAAACAUCUUUACAAUAACGCAGAUUGUAGAUAAUGUUGAUUUGUCUAAAUUCUCUAGAAUUUUUAUGCUUGAAGGGGGGAAAAAACAUACUACACUAUUUAGUCAUUAUAUCAGAUACACCUGUCCAUAACCAGGUAGGCCAUAUUGCAGCUGUGCAAAAAAAUGUGAUGAUAAAAUGUGAAA